GACGAACGCUGGCGGCGUGCCUAAUACAUGCAAGUCGAACGCUUCUUUCCUCCCGAGUGCUUGCACUCAAUUGGAAAGAGGAGUGGCGGACGGGUGAGUAACACGUGGGUAACCUACCCAUCAGAGGGGGAUAACACUUGGAAACAGGUGCUAAUACCGCAUAACAGUUUAUGCCGCAUGGCAUAAGAGUGAAAGGCGCUUUCGGGUGUCGCUGAUGGAUGGACCCGCGGUGCAUUAGCUAGUUGGUGAGGUAACGGCUCACCAAGGCCACGAUGCAUAGCCGACCUGAGAGGGUGAUCGGCCACACUGGGACUGAGACACGGCCCAGACUCCUACGGGAGGCAGCAGUAGGGAAUCUUCGGCAAUGGACGAAAGUCUGACCGAGCAACGCCGCGUGAGUGAAGAAGGUUUUCGGAUCGUAAAACUCUGUUGUUAGAGAAGAACAAGGACGUUAGUAACUGAACGUCCCCUGACGGUAUCUAACCAGAAAGCCACGGCUAACUACGUGCCAGCAGCCGCGGUAAUACGUAGGUGGCAAGCGUUGUCCGGAUUUAUUGGGCGUAAAGCGAGCGCAGGCGGUUUCUUAAGUCUGAUGUGAAAGCCCCCGGCUCAACCGGGGAGGGUCAUUGGAAACUGGGAGACUUGAGUGCAGAAGAGGAGAGUGGAAUUCCAUGUGUAGCGGUGAAAUGCGUAGAUAUAUGGAGGAACACCAGUGGCGAAGGCGGCUCUCUGGUCUGUAACUGACGCUGAGGCUCGAAAGCGUGGGGAGCAAACAGGAUUAGAUACCCUGGUAGUCCACGCCGUAAACGAUGAGUGCUAAGUGUUGGAGGGUUUCCGCCCUUCAGUGCUGCAGCAAACGCAUUAAGCACUCCGCCUGGGGAGUACGACCGCAAGGUUGAAACUCAAAGGAAUUGACGGGGGCCCGCACAAGCGGUGGAGCAUGUGGUUUAAUUCGAAGCAACGCGAAGAACCUUACCAGGUCUUGACAUCCUUUGACCACUCUAGAGAUAGAGCUUUCCCUUCGGGGACAAAGUGACAGGUGGUGCAUGGUUGUCGUCAGCUCGUGUCGUGAGAUGUUGGGUUAAGUCCCGCAACGAGCGCAACCCUUAUUGUUAGUUGCCAUCAUUUAGUUGGGCACUCUAGCGAGACUGCCGGUGACAAACCGGAGGAAGGUGGGGAUGACGUCAAAUCAUCAUGCCCCUUAUGACCUGGGCUACACACGUGCUACAAUGGGAAGUACAACGAGUCGCUAGACCGCGAGGUCAUGCAAAUCUCUUAAAGCUUCUCUCAGUUCGGAUUGCAGGCUGCAACUCGCCUGCAUGAAGCCGGAAUCGCUAGUAAUCGCGGAUCAGCACGCCGCGGUGAAUACGUUCCCGGGCCUUGUACACACCGCCCGUCACACCACGAGAGUUUGUAACACCCGAAGUCGGUGAGGUAACCUUUUUGGAGCCAGCCGCCUAAGGUGGGAUAGAUGAUUGGGGUGAAGUCGUAACAAGGUAGCCGUAUCGGAAGGUGCGGCUGGAUCACCUCCUUUCUAAGGAAUAUUACGGAAAUACACAUUUCGUCUUUACUUUGUUCAGUUUUGAGAGGUCUACUCUCAAUCAAAUAAGUUCGGGGCCUUAGCUCAGCUGGGAGAGCGCCUGCUUUGCACGCAGGAGGUCAGCGGUUCGAUCCCGCUAGGCUCCAUUGAUAGCUUUUGCUAUCAGAUUCGUUCAUUGAAAACUGGAUAUUGAAGUAAAAAGAAUCAAAACAAACCGAGAACACCGCGUUGAAUGAGUUUUUUAAUAAGUUCAAUUGCUUAUUUAUUGAUUAACCUUCUAUCGCUAGAAGAAGUAAUCAAGACCCAACCGUAAGGUUGAUAAGGUUAAGUGAAUAAGGGCGCACGGUGGAUGCCUUGGCACUAGGAGCUGAUGAAGGACGGGACUAACACCGAUAUGCUUUGGGGAGCUGUAAGUAAGCUAUGAUCCAGAGAUUUCCGAAUGGGGGAACCCAAUAUCUUUUAUAGGAUAUUACUUUUCAGUGAAUACAUAGCUGAUUAGAGGUAGACGCAGAGAACUGAAACAUCUUAGUACCUGCAGGAAGAGAAAGAAAAUUCGAUUCCCUGAGUAGCGGCGAGCGAAACGGGAAGAGCCCAAACCAACAAGCUUGCUUGUUGGGGUUGUAGGACUCCAAUAUGGUAGUCUGUUAGUAUAGUUGAAGGAUUUGGAAAAUUCCGCUAAAGAGGGUGAAAGCCCCGUAGACGAAAUGCUAACAACACCUAGGAGGAUCCUGAGUACGGCGGAACACGAGAAAUUCCGUCGGAAUCCGCGGGGACCAUCCCGCAAGGCUAAAUACUCCCUAGUGACCGAUAGUGAACC
rnacentral:rRNA from 1 species